ensembl:lncRNA
GAUCAAUUAAUAAUUUUAUUAAUUACAGCAAGCGAUAGCAAGCAAACAGCGCUGGGUGCAGCUGCGGAGCCUGUGUUCCGCCAAAAGCUGACAACCUUUCCUUCUCUUCAGUCCCUUUUUAUCCUGCAUAAGUGGGGGUGAUGGGUCUCCUUCCACCGUGGUUAUCAGUUUCAGCAACAAUGGGUUUCCACUUCGGUUAUCAGUUCCAGCCAGUCCUGCAAAAUCUUUCACAACCUUUGUUUGUGGUUACCAGUCAAGCCUGCAAAUUCCAUGUCCCGACUUCCCCCCCUUUUAUCCUAAUUUCAUACUUUUGAUGAACAAACAAGUCAAUGCAGUUCCUCACAAGAUCACCCUGCCCAGCCCCGGGCCGCCCCGGCCCCUCCGAGGCUUUGGGGGUCGGGGGCACAAAGGCACGAAGGCACAUCCUGCCUGCCAUCUCUCCUGCAGCAGAGGAAGCGGCUCGGGGAGAUCAGAGCCCAAACAGGGGCACCACGGCGCCGUUCGGCUGUGCGACAGUGCCCCGGAGCAUCCCUCGGCAGGAUUUCCGUGAGCCCGUCCCCUCGGCAGCACACAAUGAGUGUCUGACAGCUGCAGACGGCUCUGCCUUCGCCCCUCUCCGCCGACGGGUCCUCGGCACCUUCAGGAAGGUCAAACAGGAAAUUGGGCAGAGAAAGAAAAAGUUGUUCGUGCUGGAAAGUCCAAAUUUUCGUUCCUGGCUUGGGAUGAAGAUGCUGAAGUCAGGAUAUUCAAAUACUUCCCCUGGCGCCCAGGGGAAUAGAAGGACAUGGUGAGCGGGGCUGCAGGAGUGACGGGCUGGUGGCAUCCCAGGGGGCUGGUGACAUCCCAGGGGGCUGGUGCCAUCCCAAGGUGGCAGUGCCAUCCCAAGGUACCGGUGCCAUCCCAGGGGGCCGGUGCCAUCCCAGGGCGCUGGUGCCAUCCCAAGGUGCUGGUGCCAUCCAAAGGCGCUGGUGCCAUCCAAAGGUGGCAGUGCCAUCCCAGGGGGCUGGUGCCAUCCAAAGGUGCCAGUGCCAUCCAUCCCAGGGGGCUGGUGCCAUCCCAGGGGGAAUGUGCCAUCCCAGGGUGCCAGUGCCAUCCAAAGGUGCCAGUGCCAUCCAAAGAUGGCAGUGCCAUCCCAAGGUACUGGUGCCAUCCCAGGGUGCCAGUGCCAUCCCAGAGGGACGGUGCCAUCCCAGGGUGCUGGUGCCAUCCCAGGGGGCCGGUGCCAUCCAAAGGUGGCAGUGCCAUCCCAGGGGACCGGUGCCAUCCAAAGGUGCCAGUGCCAUCCCAGGGGGCCAGUGCCAUCCCAAGGUGCCAGUGCCAUCCCAAGGUGCUGGUGCCAUCCCAGGGGGCUGGUGCCAUCCCAAGGUACCGGUGCCAUCCCAGGGGGCUGGUCCUGCUGGCAUAUGCUCACACCUGAUUGAGUUUUCCCACUUAAAUUCCUACCCUGUCCCUCACCCCGGGUGUUUUUCACCUGCCUCCCUACAGACAAGGCUCUUCUUUUUGGGACGAUGCUCUGGCUGGCAACCCACUACUAUAUUUCAGGCCACUGUAUUUCACAGUCAGAGUUUCUCUUUGCAAGAUGGAUUUUGGAAGUCUCAAGCACCAAGAGAAUCACCUGUGGCUUCCUUCCACAGCAAGCCCUUGCUUCCCCAGACUCAACAAGCAUCCACACCAGAUGUAUCCCCAGCUCUGCUUUGCUGCGUGCAGGGCUUCUUCCACGGGGUCCUGCCUGGUAGAAGUGCCAGAAGUUUCUGUUUCUCUUCUGUUUCUUACCAGACAUGAUUUACUUACUGUAACUGGCUAUCCGUUAUGCCCUGCAUUGCAUUAUUAACUCGGUGAUCGUACAUUUAGCAGAGAAUUUAUGAGAAAUGAGGAGACAUUCAUUAUCAGUAACACCACAGACUUUACUCUUAUAUGGUCUCCCUGCAGGGCCAGAGCAGGACAGGGCUGCUCUGCAUACUUCUGGGGCUGCAUUUCCCUCACUUAGUCCAGUCCUUAUUUUUUCUCCUAUUAAAAUAUUUUCUGGUAAAAUUUAACUGGCUUAAUUGUGCCAUCAUGCCUUCUGUUGUCUGUUUUUCCUGUUUUCAGGCAGGGAGCUGGGUGAAGAUUGUCUGAGACACAUCUGUGCUUCCCAGCAACUGAACUGCAACAGAAGUGCCCUUAAAAUACCUCCUUAUCCUGAACCUCUGACCUGGGGACAAAUAUUCCCUCCUUCCUGUACCUCUGAACUGGGGACAAGUACCUGCCCUGUCCCAUAUCUCUGAAAUGGGGACCACAGGAGGAGUCACAAGGAACACAGUUGGCCAAGCCAAGCUCUUGGGGUUUCUGUGAGCAAAGGGUGCAGUGUCCUGCCGUGAGAUCUGGACAAGUGUUCCCAGAUGUUCUAUUAAAGAAACAACAACCACAGAAAAACCUGAGUAACAGCCAAACAAACAGAAAUCUCAGGUGGAGUCUCAGAGGCACACAAGUCCCAGUGAAGAGAGGCUGUAGGCAGGUUGGAGACAGGACAGGCAUUACCAUUUGCAUGACCUGGAUGUCUGACAACCUCCCAGGAAUUCGGAUUCCAAGAGCAACACAAUGAACAGUUCCUCCUUGACCUUAGAGCCAUGCCACAGCUGUCUGCAGAGCACUCCAUCUUGGAAACCUUUCCAUCUCUGAAGCCUUUCCCAGCAGACAGAGGCAUUUCUGGCUCCUGAGAAGGACUGGGGUUCCCCAGCUGCAGGCUGGUGGCAGCUGUGAAGGCUGUGAGGAGCCAGAGCUCCAGCCCAUGUCAGCCAGGGAAAGGAUGGGAAGAGCAGAGAUGGCUGGAUGUUCUUGGACAUUUCCUAUUCUUAGGUUUUCACUGAAUGGCCUGAACACAAAGCAAAUAUCUACCUAUAUCUAGAUCAUCUAUAUCUAUACCAUCUAUAUCUGUCUGUUAUACCUCACAGGUAUCACAGGAGAUUCUGAGUCUCAGCUUCUGAAUGCCCUGUGCCUAGCUGGGAAGGUCUGGGCAGCACAGAUGCUCCAUGGGGGCUGCUGCAUCCUCUGAUCCCAAACGGGUGCUACAGACCGUGCAGGCUUUGGCAGCAGCCAGUGGAGGGAAAGCUAUGCAAAACAUGCCCCAGGGAACUGCCAGGCAUCCCGGAUUACCUUCUUUGGAGUGGUUUUGGAGGUUACACGAAGGCAAAGCCAGUUCUCUGCGAGUUUGUGGCGCAGGCACUGGCUGCCCCAGCUGUCCCACACCCGGGGCAGCCCCAGCCUCCCUCAGCUCCUGCCCUGAGGCUGCCAGCCCCCGGCCAGUCCGGGCCUUUCCUGGCUGCAGAACCCCUCGCACCCCUCGCCCGUCACGCCAGGAGAAGCAGAGCACAAUUAGAGAUGUGGCUGUGCCUCUCUGCAGACAAUUAAUCCUCCCAUUAACGGGUGAAAUGGAGCGUUUGCGUCUCACAAAGCAAUUACACAAUAAUAGCAGGAGAACGAUGAUAGAAAUCACAUCUUCUCUGAAGUUGCUCUCCAAUCCAACAGAUGAAUAAUUCCUUCCAGGCAUUACUGGGAAACAGUAUUAAAACACCCAUAUAAACAAAAAUUACUGGAAAAAAACAGAUGAGGCAUGCUUCAUCGCUCUGUCAGAGCCAAGCACAACUAAAUUUAUACAAAGUGGGCAGAGAAGCUUGAAGGGGCAAAGACAUUUGUUACUGCUCUGUGCGAGAUGAGCUCACAAGGAACGCGUGCUUGAUCUUGGCAGCUUUCUGAUGUCUUACUCCUAAAGCAUCAGCUUUAGUCUCGGUUUCCAUGGCAGAUACUUUUCUGAGCUUGUAUCUUCCACAGAUAUUGCUAAUUUAUGCUGUCAGCCACAUCUCUGCAAAUACCUGCAGAGUGAUUCCAUGUGCAGUGGGAGCAGUGACAACAAGGCACACGUGAACCUGCCUCAGCUCUUGUUUUUGACCAGGGGGCAAAAAAGGGUUUGUUUUCUUCAGCCCACAAGAUCUUGGCUGAUCUUCUGGCACUGAAUUUUGCCCCAAGUACCCUGACACUGUGUUAUCUGUCCUGUGAAGUGAAGCACUUUCAGCAGUUCAUCCAGGCACGUGUUUUUGGCACAUUUACUCCCCAGUGCUCUGGCAGCUCUGAGCAGGAAGAGUUGGGCAUCACAUGUGGCCCUGCUUCCUUCUGCUCCCCCACCACAUUUCAUGUUAGCAGAGUCUAUAAACCAUGAGAUAUUUCCCAGGCAGAGAUCCAGCCACACCAAAACUGUUCUGUUUUCAGGGUGGAUUUAUCAGCCCUGCAAAUGUUGAACAAACAGCUGAUGAAUUGGUCUUACCAAUUUGACAAGACCAUGGCAAGGUGAGAGGCUGCACAUCUGGCUGGUGGAAGAAGAAUCCCGGGGAUUUGCAAAGCUGUUGUUUAUACACUGAAGCAUGGAACAUCCAGCACAUACAAAAGAAUCUGUGGAAAACUUGUAAAAAGUAACUCACACAAUAACAGAACCACAGGAAGCGAUGGCACGUGCAGAGGGAGCUCAUGUCGGAGCAAAGUCCUGGCAGCAGCAGGGAAACCCAUGUCCUGGCAGGAUAUGGGGACUGCAGGGUUCAGGGCUGGUUCAGGAUGUGCCCGGCAGCACCAGCGGGUGAGUCCCAAGUCCCAGGAAGGAAAGUGGCCAAACACUGAAAUGAGACCGCUCCCUCUCCUAAAGAUAGAAGCCUGGCAAGUCCUGGCCAGCUGGAAGUUGAUCUGAGCCCGGAUGGAGCCAGGCUUGCCAGUCAUUUUGAGUCCCAGGCAGCCACCUGCCCUGCUCACACUUCACCUGGUGACCAACAGCUCACAGGUAAUCCCCUUCUCCAUUCUGAGCCAGCACAAACACCUACACAGGGGCUUCGUGUGUGCUCACCUCUCCA